UACGAAGGGGGCUAGCGUUGCUCGGAAUUACUGGGCGUAAAGCGCACGUAGGCGGCUCUUUAAGUCGGGGGUGAAAUCCUGGAGCUCAACUCCAGAACUGCCUUCGAUACUGGAGAGCUUGAGUUCGGGAGAGGUGAGUGGAACUGCGAGUGUAGAGGUGAAAUUCGUAGAUAUUCGCAAGAACACCAGUGGCGAAGGCGGCUCACUGGCCCGAUACUGACGCUGAGGUGCGAAAGCGUGGGGAGCAAACAGG
rnacentral:rRNA from 1 species